UGAUCUCUGUUCUCCACUGGCCACUAACAAACAGGCUGUGUGUGUUGCAGUGGGACAUGGAUGGCGGCUUUCCUGGCUGUGUGAGCAGAGGCCCAGUGGAAGAGGUGCUUUAUGAUAACGCGGGCCUCUACGAUAACUUGCCAUCGCCGACAAUCUUUGCUCGCUCCUCUCCUGCUGACCGGAGGGCAUCUCGGCCACCCACUGACAGGCUGUCCUCUAACCACUACAAAUCCCCCACCUCCUGCAGCCCACCCUGCUCCCCAUCUGUCACUAACACCUCUUCUGUGGGGAGGGCAUCUCUCGGGCUGCACUCCCAGGUACAGACUACGUUCCCAAACUCCCCGACAUCAGUGGCCCUGCAGAGGCCACGUGCUCACCAAAGUGUCACAUAGUCAUCAGCCAUAGCCUAAUUCACAGUUAGCCACUGAGGAACGUGUGUGACCGGCUCCCAGAUUGUCUUCCAAGUUUCCCCAGUACAUUUUGAGAAUUAUGUCAGAGAUUAUAAAAAGAGGCCGUGUCACUUCCAGAAAAUUCUGGAAUGCCAGGUUUCUCUACUAUGUUCUACCUUGGGUAUAAGUUAGCAAGGACUGCCCCCAGGGAGUGGUUACUUCCUGUGUGUAAAUAUGACCAGCACCAUGAUGACAGCCAGAGGGUCGUCAGGAAAAGGAUGACGUGUGCCCUGCACCUGUGUGACAGGAAGGGUCUGAUUCUGAGUGGCAGAUAGGCCUGAGGUUCAAACUCUUGUUUGCCCACUCUUUGGCAUGCACCAACAUUUCUGAGGCGACAUCAACUCCCUCCAUGAAUUUUUAACCAUGUAUGCUCUUCAUUUAUAUACUCUUCCUGGAGUCCUGGGUGCCUCAUUUAAGAACACUCUGAAAACAGAGAGCAAGAGGCCAGGCUUUCUACAUUCUGCUAUACUCUUUGAGCAUUUUUGAGAAUAUAGCAGACACCAGCUAAAGUCCUAGGCCUCCGGGUAGCAGUGACUCACAAUCACACCCCCAGACAUUGUUUUGUCACAACAGACACAGAAGGCUUGAGUUAUGUAGAUGCCACCCCCAGGAGAGUCUGACUCCUAAUGGGAGGGAUGUGGACCCCCGGCUGAGUGACUGCUUGAGCACCAUUGGCCUCUACCAGUUUCCCAAGGAUCCCUGCCCAGAUCUAGCCAUUGUGUCUUACCCGUGUAUCAAUCUGUUCGCUGGUGGCGUAGUUGUCUUUGGUGAACUUAUUAGUAAGCCUGCCACCUGUGCAUUGGGGUUGCCCCAUUGCUGGUCAGGUAUCACGUGAUGCAUGGGGUGGUGCUUUCACUGUUGCUUACCCCAGUCUCUGUUUCAAAUAGAAAACGGUCCCAGGCUGAAUUCUAGUGCCUUUGCAUGUCACAUCCUUGUGUGGCCAUUCUUUUGGGAGCCUGUCGGCUGUGAGAGCACACACAUCCCGAGAGCACCUGGAAGCCAUCUUGUGCAUGGAUGUUCAGUGCCACUUAGAGCCCUGUGGGAGGUGCCAGAGUCUUUAUAUUUUUAAGUGAGCAAGCAGAGGUUCAGAAAGUUUCCAAGGGCUAGCUCAGGGUCUCCUAAAUGACAAGCCAGAAUUGCAGCUAGAUCUUUAUGCAGCUCUACACUGGACCUCCAACAUGAGAGGCAGGCGGUGGGAGGGGGACGGAGGAGAUUGACAGGGCCUGGGUGUCAAGUUUCCCUCUAUGUUGAGCUCAAUGCCUAUCAUGCAGUGUCACCUGCCGGAUAUGGAGCUGUGGCUUGCAGAAGUUGGGUGAGCAGAGGACUGCUGAAUAUUUUUAAAGCUUAUAGCUGGUGAAGGCUUACAUUGUAUAUGUUUAUGCUAUCUCUUUUCUCUUUUUUAUAGAUUUAUUUAUGUUAUGUAUGUGAGUACACUGUAGCUGUCUUCAGACAUACCAGUAGAGGGCAUCAGAUCCCAUUACAGAUGGUUGUGAGCCACCAUGUGGUUGCUGGGAAUUGAACUCAGGACCUCUGGAAGAGCAGUCAGUGCUCUUAACCACUGAGCCAUCUCUCCAGCCCUAUGCUAUUUCUAUAUAUGUGUCUCUUACAUCCUUCCUCAGAACCAUCUGAUCUGGAAGGAGGUUAUGAAUCUCAUUAUUAUAUCAUUCAUUUAAGGACAAGAACCUCCCUGCAGAACCACGCCUUUCCCCUAGGAAAAGUCUUCUUAUGGAAAAGUGACUUAGCUCUAGAAAUACAGGGUCACAGGUUCUCAGAGGGUAUUGCUGCAUGCCUGUACAUGGUCACUCAGAGGUGCUUUCUUAUCAGCACUUAAGACCCCAGUAGAAACACAGCAUCCCCCCCCCCCCAUUGCAGACUUCCUGGUAGCUCUGGGUACCCAGCCUUCAGUGCUGGGAAGCAUCCUAGCUCUCAAAGGGACCACAAGGAAGUCCAGUGACAGUGACUAGAAAGCCAAUUGGUUUCCUUUGUCCUGGGACCAUGCCAGCAGGUUGUACUUAAGAGUCAGAGACUAAAAAGAAAUAACUUUGGGCAACAGGGUGCUUUUGUUCGAUUAUUUUUCAUUUUCUCUGUGUGUUUCAACAGUUGAAGAACAAAAAACCGCCAGCGUCAUCUAAUGGGGUUCCUGUAAAGGGGAAGGCUCCCAGCAGUCAGCAAAAAAAGGUGGAAACUGCAGGUGGUGUGAAACGGACAGCAUCAAGUGAGUUUCCCCUCUGGCUCCUCUUUCCGCUUUGGUGCAGUUUGUAGACUUGAGGCUGACUGAGUCAUUUCUGCAGAAGAUGCCGGCCUUGGGGCUGGGUUGGGAGGUGGGACAGUAUGCAUUCCUCCCCCUCCCCCAUCUUUACCUGCCAGGAUCUCUAGCCCAACCUCUGUAACUGUUGCCUGGCUUCCUGGGAUGACAUUCAACCAUGAGGCACUGGUCCAGGAGACUCUAUUUGUGUCUCUAGAACACCAUUGACCAAUCGUGUAAACUGUGAAUACAGCCCCUUCGUCUGUCAGAUGUGCAGGUAGUCAACCGCUGUGGUUGAUGCAGUGGGGAUGGUGAUGCUGGGCGCCUCAACCAAAGCCCCCAAAUGCUCUAGGGCACAGGAGGUCUUUCUACUUCUAUGCAGAUCACAGUGCAUAGCCAACGCCUUCCACUCCUGCUGGUCUCUGGCAGCUGUGUAGUCAGUGUAGAUGCUGUGUACCCUGUUAUGCAAAUGAGGGAUGAGCCCCAGGUAGUGCAGGAAAGCCAGAGGUCUCACCACAGGCCAGCCACUGAGCUAGGACGUGAGCCAGGCUUUCAGACUGCAGAGCCAGCUAUACAGAGCAGGCAGAGAGAGACACAGCCUGCCUGAGAGUUCAGCAGCCACCCUCCAUCACAGCAGCGAGAUCUGGGUGUGCUGAUGUCUUGAGUUUGCAUUUGCCCUGCCCAGGUACAUUGGGUGAUCUACCACUCAGCCAGCCAGCCCACGGGACUUAAUCAUUCAGGGUACUCACUUGUUGCUGGGGAUGCAGUGAGGAGAGCAUGCCAGCUUGGAAAAGCAGGCAUCAUAAGGACUGCUUGGGGCUCUGCAGGUCCUGGAGCUCCUCCAUCAGUCUGGGCCAAGCGAGUGUCCAUGCCAAAUCAUGACAUGCCACCGCUACUUGGGAUUCCUACUUGAGCCUUCCAGUCUGCAGCCAUGCAGUUAACAGAUCGCCUUCUGUGACAGCGUGGAUAAGACUUCACCUGGGAACUUCCGUUCCUACGGAGAGAAAAGGCCUCAGACCUACAUGGGACUAGCAUCCAUUUUAGGGUCUGAGUGCACAAGGGCACAGAAAGGCUGUCUUUUUCCAUGGUCAAAGCAUGGAUGAGCCUUGGGACUUCUGUGACAUUUGGCUGCUUCAGCCCCAGGGAACCUGUGAAUUCUCAAGAGGAGUUUGUCUACACCUGUGCUUUCAAACCUGCAUUUCAAAUAAGCAUGUCAGGAGCCCAUCAGGCUGGGUCUCCUCAUUGUCACCGACUUCCCUUGGCCCUCUCUCUCUGUAAUUUCAUUCCCCAAUGUCUUGGGUGUGCUCACACUCUUGUUCUUAGUGUUGUUCAUUCAGGGAGGUGCAGGAGCCAGAGGGAUGCGUCGGCUUAAAAUGCCUUGUUAAGCAAGAUCUGAAUCCCACGCGGGCGCCGUCAGCUUGGAGUUUCUCACGGCCCUCUGCUCGCUUUAUUUUAUGGAUGAUUUAUCCUGGUAUCUGGUGGGACCUUCUGUAGGGAAUGUUUUAUUAACUUUGGUGACAUCUAAUGG
rnacentral:lncRNA from 1 species